AUAAACGAGAAUUGUAAGAGUAUGUAGCUACUAUGCUGCCUCAAGAUUGAAAUACUAGUUAACUCUUUCGUUAGGAAGUUGGACAGCGCAGGAAUGAGCUUGAAGUUGGAAAGUUUUGUUUAGUCGGCCCAACAUCUGUGGUCAUAUGCCGGAGAGAGACAGAAGGGGGAAGGAAUUAUAGGAGAAGGGAACAGACCCUAGGAGACGGGACACAACCCCCGAUUAAUACCUGGUACCCAUUCACUGCUGGGUGGACAGGGGCGUAGGGUAUCGGAAAAGCCGCACAAAUUUUUCCACUCCUCCCGGGAAUCGAACCCGGGCUCUCUCGGUUGUGAGCCGAGUGUGCUAACCACUGCACCACGAAGCCCCCAUGCUGCUUCAAGCUUAAAAUACUAGUUAACUCUUUCGUUAGGAAGUUGGACAGCGUAGGAAUGAGCUUGAAUAGAAUCUUGUAAAGCAAGGCUGCAUGAGGGGUUGAGGCUUGCACUUAGUACGCCAGCAUGGCCUGCCUCCUUUGCUAUAUUGCUAAAAUAAUAUUAAACCAAUAUUGAAAAUAAUGAUUGACAAAAAUGACUAAUGAAUGCAAAUGCAGGAAACUCGAUUUACGCGAGUUUGGUUAACGCGUUUUUUAAAAUAACGCGGGGUCCAAAAUCCAAAUAAAUGUUUAAUUUACAUGUUUUUUCACUUAUACGCGAUAUUUUAUGGAGUGGACACCAGAUGUCUCACACAACUGGACACACACGGCGCCGCGGCCACACAGCUGAGCUCAGUUCUUCCCGCGCGCCACUUGAACAACAAUACAGUACCCACGCUACUCAACAACAACAACAACACCCUCGCUGCUGUGCUACCACGAGGGGAAGGGCAGCCAGAGGAGGAACCACGAGAGGGAGAGGAGUCAGAGUGAUACAGUAGGCAAUAAAGCUCCCCGCUUCAUGCUGUCACGAUAACAAGGUCAGAGGUCAAGGAAGGACGCUGUGCCUUGGGGAGCAUCGCUUUGGCAGACUCGCAGGGCCGGGCUGUAGGCGGCGGCGCGGCGGGGCACGCACCUGGCGAAGAUACUCCAGGCGAGGGUAGCGGCCGACACUCCGGGACUGACGGCGGCGAGGCUCACACGCACUCCCGUCACUGGAACGCGCUGCAACUCCACCUGAGGCAUCCAGGGACACGGCCUCCCCGCGCUACAACGCCUUCUCCUCCACACCACAGCUGGCACCCGCAUACCUGCCUGAAGAGCAUCCUGCCAGCGAAGCCCGCGACGAAGUGCGCCACGUAAGUUGUCGCAGGAGCGGGCGCAGCGGGAGUAAGGGCGG